UACGGAGGGUGCAAGCGUUGCUCGGAAUUAUUGGGCGUAAAGGGUAGGUAGGUGGUCUCAUUUGUCUGGGGUGAAAGCCUUGAGCUUAACUCAAGAAGUGCCCCAGAAACGGUGAGACUGGAGUCCUGGAGAGGGUCGUGGAAUUCCCGGUGGUAGCGGUGAAAUGCGUAGAGAUCGGGAGGAACACCAGAGGCGAAAGCGGCGACCUGGACGAGGAACUGACACUCAACUACGAAAGCGUGGGGAGCAAAC
rnacentral:rRNA from 1 species